GACGAACGCUGGCGGCGUGCUUAACACAUGCAAGUCGAACGGAAAGGCCCUGCUUUUGUGGGGUGCUCGUGUGGCGAACGGGUGAGUAACACGUGAGUAACCUGCCCCUGACUUUGGGAUAACUUCAGGAAACUGGGGCUCAUACCGGAUAGGAGAUCUUGCUGCACGGUGGGGGUUGGAAAGUUUCGGUGGUUGGGGAUGGACUCGCGGCUUAUCAGCUUGUUGGUGGGGUUGUGGCUUACCAAGGCUUUGACGGGUAGCCGGCCUGAGAGGGUGACCGGCCACAUUGGGACUGAGGUACGGCCCAGACUCCUACGGGAGGCAGCAGUGGGGAAUAUUGCGCAAUGGGCGGACGCCUGAUGCAGCAGCGCCGCGUGCGGGAUGACGGCCUUCGGGUUAUAAACCGCUUUCGCCGGUGACGAAGCGUGAGUGACGGUAAUGGGUAAAGAAGCACCGGCUAACUACGUG
rnacentral:rRNA from 1 species